UUGAUCCUGGCUCAGGAUGAACGCUGGCGGCGUGCUUAACACAUGCAAGUCGAACGAUGAAGCCCAGCUUGCUGGGUGGAUUAGUGGCGAACGGGUGAGUAACACGUGAGUAACCUGCCCUUGACUCUGGGAUAAGCCUGGGAAACUGGGUCUAAUACUGGAUAUGACUUCUCACCGCAUGGUGGGGGGUGGAAAGAUUUAUUGGUCUUGGAUGGACUCGCGGCCUAUCAGCUUGUUGGUGAGGUAAUGGCUCACCAAGGCGACGACGGGUAGCCGGCCUGAGAGGGUGACCGGCCACACUGGGACUGAGACACGGCCCAGACUCCUACGGGAGGCAGCAGUGGGGAAUAUUGCACAAUGGGCGCAAGCCUGAUGCAGCGACGCCGCGUGAGGGAUGACGGCCUUCGGGUUGUAAACCUCUUUCAGUAGGGAAGAAGCGAAAGUGA
rnacentral:rRNA from 1 species